CGUAUGCUCCUGUGUCUCUGCCUGAUUUUGACUGACCCGUUGAAGCCUCUUCCUGUGCCUUUUUAAUUUCAUGCACUAUAAGGAAGAGGAGCUAAGGGCUCCCCCAAACUUUUUUUUUGGAGGAGCAAGGGUUGGGGAGGUGGGUGCGCAGAGGGUUGACCAAACUGGAAGAGAGUAUUUGUUCUUUAGUGGGAAUUUUCCGAUCAGCCACACCUCAGCGUUGCGGCAAAAUAAUUCUUGGCUCCCCUGGAAACGCACGGGCAAGGUAGGGCACAGCUGCUCCUGCUGCUCUUGCCACCACCCUGGGCUUCCUGCUGACUCUGGGCUACUCCCCGGGGACGAGAGAUUUGCAUUGACGUCCCGGGCUGUCCAGAGAUGAGCCCAUUAUGGGAAGGACCUGCCUUCUAGAAGCUGCUGCUCCCUGGUGCUUGGAAAGGUACCACAUCCAGGUGGGGGAUCACUGACGGUGGUUAUUUCAUUUAUUCCUCACUGCAACCCUGCAAGGAGUGACUGAGAACUCAGGGGAGUUCAGCUCCAGAAGUAGGUGACAGCCUGCUGGAGACUCCGCUGAUGAUGGUGCUGGCGUUCAGAAGACAGUCGUCAUCCUGUGGGGUAAACGUGUUGCCUGUUUGCGUGUCUUAUUUGGAACACACAGAAAAAGGAGCUGCCUGGCAGCCUGGCUCUCCGCAAUCCAGGAGGCCUCCGGGCUGGGUGCCAGGGAGGGCAUGCCGCUUCCAGCCGCCUCGGAUCACCUGGCUGCGUGCAACUUGGGGACAGAACCAGCGGCUGGGUUCAGGGCACUGAGUGUUUCAGAGCUCCGGAGUUGGGAGCACACACACGGGCUCGGGCCCCCGAGCUCCCUCGGCGACAGUUGCCUGUCUGCCACGCGUGGCCCGUGUUCUGCACUGAGAGCUGACACUUCCCGGGGAGCCGGGGAUUAGUCACCCUCGUGACCCAAUGACCUGAAUGUGUUAUGAAGGACCAGAGCAGGGUGGAGUGUGAGGGGAGCUUAACCAAAAGCCGGGCUAGACUGGGGUGCUUUUCUGAGGACAGGGUAGCCCUGCUGAGACCCGAAGGAGGACUUGAGACCACCAGGCUUACUGUGUGGGUGGAGUGGGGUGGUUCAGGGCUGGGAGUUUCAGGACAGUAGAUGCAGAAUAUUCCAGAAAGAGGGAGCGGCAUGUGCAGAGAGGCCUUCUGGAGGGGGAGAGACAUUCUGGGUCACCAAAGGACUCCUGUAAUACCUUCGGAAAGGGGGUGGAUAGUGGCAGCUGGAAGUUACUAAGGAAGAAGAGUUUGGCUGCAGUAGAAAGCGGCAAAGCUGAGAAUUGCCAAAUACAGAUCUCCUUCAACCUCCUCCUUUUAUAUUUUAUUCGUAUCCUGUAGUCAUGACUCACGCUCAGUCUUGAUCUUAAAGCCUCAAAGUGUUGACCUGAUUGACACCCCAACCCAACUGACCUCACCUCUGCUGUUGACCGCAGGUGCCCAUGCUUAGAGCCCUUCCCUGCAGGCAGUGACGACCCCCGCCUGGCCCAGACUCCCCCGUCUGUGACUGAGGCCUUGCAGAGCCCCACAGGUUGCAGAGGCGUCCACGACAGAUGCUGCAGGGCCUUCAUCCCCAGCGUUCUCCCCACUGCCGCAGCCGCGCGGUGGAGACCACCCAGGCACGGCUUGCAGGAGUAUCAAAGCACCGAGCGUGCUCCCAUCUCCACCCGAGUUUAACCCGUACAGUCAGCAGCACCCCGCCGUCUAUGCAGAAGCCCUGCCUAGGAUUCCCACCUGCCCUCAGUCUUGCUCAUGAUCAGGGGCAAGGGCAGAGGGAGACAGUCGGCCAACCACAGAGCAGGCGGCGGUGGGCAGAGGGGCAGGAGCACAGACGCCAGGCUCAGACCCAGCUCGGACCCGGCUCACUGGUCACGGGACUGGGGACAGGUUUUCGAACCACAUUGAGGAUCAGUUUCUUCUGCAAAAACAGGAAUAAUCCCUGGUUCGUGAUGAGAAUUGAAGAGCACAACUUGGUGUUCGCAUUUUAUUUCCUUCUCUUCCCUAGAGCAGCACAUAACGUUAUUUCCAGGAGGCAGAAAAAACGACGCUUUUUCUCUGGAGUCUUGAAGAAUCGGUAGGGAACCUGAGAGGUAAAGAUUUUGUCUCUUCUUUCUCUCGGUUAUGGUAUCAGAGGAAAUACAGACAUACUUUCUUAGCUUCACCCAUAGGAGAUGGAAGUCUGAUUUGAACACUGUUCGCACAUCUUAUUUUCAGGCUGAUUUUGAAAACAACACAAAACAAAACUCCAUUCUUGUAUUAGAGAGUUGCCUACUUAAUACAGUUUUAGGACACCAGUAGAGACUAAGAUUGGUGGCUCACGGGGUCAUACUUGAAUGUCCUGACCGCUCAUCUGUGAUGGGGAAGGGCGAGCCUGUACUCUUCCUCACUAGGGUUCGUGGGCGAGUCGCCCUGGCCCAGGUGAAACCCACCUGUGUGUAGUGGUUAGAGCCUCCCAGGCCGAAAGGGUGCUUGCUUCCGGAUGCAGGGAGAUAACAUCAGAAAAUGCUUUGCAGAUUGUGAAAUGGUUUACAAACAGGGCAAAACUAAUGUAAAUGUUCACACAGUUCAGUGAUAACUUUCACUAUUUCAUUUCGUCGUAUAUAUAAUAAUGUGAAGGAACUGGUUGUGGAAUUGAAUAAAUUAGCCUAGAAUUUAUUACUUUUGUAUUGCGAUCGUCUG